GAAUGUGAGGGCAACUUGGUUACAGUAUCAACCACCCCACUGGUCACCAGAGUUGAUCUGCAUGUUAUAGAUAGCUAGACAGUUGUCACUUCCUCCCUCGGUGCUUCAUAUACACCUCACCAAAACCGUAUGUUUUGUAGCAGAGGAAAUCCUUCCUAGAAAAAGGAGGGACACUCUUGGACCAAGAGUUACUGAGCAACUGUCCUCUGCAAAAAUCUCCANNNNNN
rnacentral:sRNA from 1 species